rnacentral:snoRNA from 1 species
AGUCAGUGAUGAGGUUAAGUAUAAGAGUAGUGGACAGAAGUGAUUUCUGAGAAACUUUACACUGAGACU